GGAUCAACUAACUGGUCGUGCCUAUGGUACGUACUGGUUUUGUUGGUUUCUCCCUCUGAGGAGCCGCGAUGUCAUUAACUUGGUGUCGUGGGGAAUCAGACUGUUACUUUGAAAAAAUUAGAGUGUUUAAAGCAGGCUCACGCUUGAAUACAUUAGCAUGGAAUAACGAAAUAGGACGUU
rnacentral:rRNA from 1 species